CUGCACCUCCAUGUGUGCUGACCUGCCAGACAACUCGUCUUCACACUUUGUUCUCUUUCUUCUGCAAAGUGUAUCUAUAGACGCAGGCAAACAAGGUUCCACUACUGACCCCUUGCUGUCUUGGGCCAGAGUCCAGUAGCUGAACCUCACAAAGGUGGCUGACUUGAAUCUCCCUGUCCCUUGCACGCACAGGUUCAGGUGGCUGUCCUCCUUGGACAACUGCUUACAACUGUAUUUACCUCGCUUCCUCCCAGAUGUGAAGAAUCGAUGCCUGCACUGUGUAUUUCCUCUGCCAAACGGCUCCCCAGGAAGCUGGAUACUCCGAGUGCUGAGCACUGCUGAUUCAGAGCAGGAACAAUGACAUUGUGAGACUUGUUCUGGUGCUUUAGAUCAACACAGUUUCUGAAUUAUGUUACCUGUCCAUAGUACCUGCCUUUCUGACAAAGCAGUUCCUGACUUACUGCUGUCUCGCUGGAUGAGCAUCACAGUCUCAGAUAUAGUUGGAGUGAUUGAAAAAUGUCAGCUUUUAUGUAGGAAGCUAUUGUUCAGCAAGUUAUUUUUCCCUGAAAUAUUUCCAGUUUGAGGGUUGUUUCAUCUGUCUUUCCUUCAAUGUUGCCCCUGAAUUGAUUUUCCUCUGCAAAGGAAAAUGCUGACAAAACCUCAGUCAGUAUUGCUAUUUGGAAGUGCUGCUGUGUUGCUUGACAAGAGCUGUCCUUCAACUGCUUCACAUCCACAUUCUCCUGCUCCAUGGAAGGAAACAUCUUGGGCUUCUUGCUCCAACUGGAAUGCCUGGAGUUUAAAAGCAGUACUACAGUAGCCUACUGGAAGAGAGGCACUUUCGUAGUUUACCAGAAAACAUUGGCUUGGAAUUUUUUUCCUCCUAAUAAUUUUCCAUGCAGGUUUCAUUUUUUUUUUUUUUUAAGUCACUUCCAGUAUGAGUUUGUGUGUGUGCACAUACAUAUGCAUGUGCUUUCCUGCCUUUGAUGCCAUUGCCACCAAAGGAUUUGCAUAGCAUGCAUCAAGAAGGCAAAGCAUUGUGAGAUCUCUCAGUCCUUCCUCCUGCCAAAGUAGGGUCUUUUUCCUGAAGAAAAUUAGCUGUAUUGAAAAAUGUAACAAUGCAAGGUGGGAAGGAAGGUUCAUCCAGUCUUAUGAGACAGCUUUUGAACAUGAACUCACCAUUCACUAACAUGUAUUAAUUUUUGAAAGCUACAGCUCUAGAUGGAGGAUAAGAAUCUGCAUUAAUGUUUGUACAGUGAUACUUAUAGAAUAAACAUUAAUCUCCUGUAUAUAGCAUUUAUAUAGUUCUCUACUGAACAAAGCCACAAUUUCUGCAGUAUCUGAAAGAGAGCAGAAUUUUCCCAGAGUGUCUUUUUGGAUGUUACAUUUCCAAAUGGAGCUAGGGGUUUAGUCCUGUCACCCACAUGGAUUUAAAUUGGUGAAGCUGUAGGAAAUGCCUUAUGACUCCUAAAUGGCUGUAACAACAUUUGUGAUAUUCUAGAUGUAUCCUUUUAAUAAUUCUGUUUCUAAUUAUUUCUGUUUAUCCUCAUUAAGACAUACAAUUCUACCGCACUCCAGCAUAAUACACUGACAGAUGGACUUCUGCAGUGUCUGUUUGAUGAUAGGUUUAAAAAAACCAAAUCUUUUAGUAUAAACUCUCUCGUUAUUGAUUUACUCUCAAACAGUUUUUAUUUUUUUUACUUGUACAUUUUAGACCAACAGUAGCAGUCUUACCUGCCGGGUAUAAUAUUUUACAAUCUUCCCAUGCAUAUCUCCCCCUGACACAUCUGUCUCUAUCACUGAGUACUUCUCCUGAGUAGGUACCAAUAACUUUUCCAGAUUUGUUGGUAGUUUUUUUUAAUGUGCCCCAAGAGAGAAUAGGAUGAAACAACGAUAUUUAACCAUAUGUCUGAAACAAAGGCUUUGAAUAAAGGUGAAAGACUCAUACUACUUACUUCAUCAUUGAGCCUAUACAAAUUAAACUCCUACAUUACUCACAGGAUGACUUGCAAUUAUGUUGAUUAAUCAUAUGUUACUGAGAAAAUGGAAACUCAUUUAUAACAGGCAUUAUUAAUCUAUUGUGUCAUUUUUGAUUUCUUAAAGCCCUGUUCCAGGGACAAUUCCACUCCCAAUGAGCUGGUUAAUUCUAUUUCUCGUCCAGCUUAUUUGUAAUUAAUUUUUAAACUGUUGUUUACAUGAAUUACUAUUAUUUAACACAGUUCUUCAAAGAAAAGGAAUAAGUAAACUCAUUUAGUAGUGUAUUAUUUCAAUACUGAUACUGGAAAAAGAGAUGUUUUCCAAAGUAAUAUCAGAAUGUUAGUUGACUUUUGGUUUGUGACACAAGUAAAAUGUGCAUUUAGAUUUAAAAAAUAUAUUGACCUUUGAACCACCUUCUGAAUAAAA